AUUGAACGCUGGCGGCGUGCCUUACACAUGCAAGUCGAACGGUAACAGGUCUUCGGAUGCUGACGAGUGGCGAACGGGUGAGUAAUACAUCGGAACGUGCCUAGUAGUGGGGGAUAACUACUCGAAAGAGUGGCUAAUACCGCAUGCGAUCUACGGAUGAAAGCAGGGGAUCGCAAGACCUUGUGCUACUAGAGCGGCCGAUGGCAGAUUAGGUAGUUGGUGGGAUAAAAGCUUACCAAGCCGACGAUCUGUAGCUGGUCUGAGAGGACGAUCAGCCACACUGGGACUGAGACACGGCCCAGACUCCUACGGGAGGCACCAGUGGGGAAUUUUGGACAAUGGGCGAAAGCCUGAUCCAGCAAUGCCGCGUGCAGGAUGAAGGCCUUCGGGUUGUAAACUGCUUUUGUACGGAACGAAAAGCCCCGGGUUAAUACCCUGGGGUCAUGACGGUACCGUAAGAAUAAGCACCGGCUAACUACGUGCCAGCCGCCGCAGUAA
rnacentral:rRNA from 1 species